UACGUAGGGUGCAAGCGUUAAUCGGAAUUACUGGGCGUAAAGCGUGCGCAGGCGGUUGUGCCAGACAGAUGUGAAAUCCCCGGGCUCAACCUGGGAACUGCAUUUGUGACUGCACGGCUGGAGUGCGGCAGAGGGGGAUGGAAUUCCGCGUGUAGCAGUGAAAUGCGUAGAUAUGCGGAGGAACACCGAUGGCGAAGGCAAUCCCCUGGGCCUGCACUGACGCUCAUGCACGAAAGCGUGGGGAGCAAACAGG
rnacentral:rRNA from 1 species